ACAUUCUUUCAGUGAUUCCAAACGUCCUGUAUAGGGACGCACCGAUUUGAUCUAACACAAGAUUUUUAUCCAACUGAGUUUGUUUAAUUUCGCAAGAGACUUUGUUCUGAAUUUUGUCUGAUCGAAGCUACCGGAGUCAAGGGAUUUGGCUUAAGUCAUUUUGCUUAGGUCAGUUUUCGAGUUUCGGUUUGUAAUGUUGUGCAAGAAGUAGUCACUACUUAGUAGUGGGUGUGGACACGGUCGCUGAAGGUCGCACCACAAAAUCUAGCGAAUGGGAGUCACACUCUUUUCUCGAAUGAGCCCCGGAAUGAGCACAAAAUCAAUAUGAUCGUUUUAACCGUAUAAGUAAAAAAACAGUCAGAGUUUCUGUUCCCCAUGGCGGGACCAAGAAAAUGGAAAGACUGUGGGGGUGCCUUUUCUCCGUAGGCAAUAAACACAAUGCAAUUCUGUUCCCUAUUCAUAAAUAUCGUCCGCGUGUAUUUCGAUGACACUUUUAUGGUUCAUAACUCACAAAAUGCAAGGCCAGUAUAAAUAGAGAGAUACAAAACAACCGUGGAUGCCGCCAUACACAUCAAUAAACAAAUUAAUUAUGGACAGAAAUGAAAAGUUCAACGUUCAACUAAUUCCGAAAAUAGAGUUGACUAUGGCAAGUUGCAAAAUUCUACACCAAACUCAACCCAACAACGGUAUUUUACUUACACACAAUACAGUUUGGUGACUGCUAAAAUCGAUC